AUAUCUAAUCAUUUGAAACCUCUAAAGAAAGAUUUACGUAACUUCCAAACCAAAACAACCGAAGGAAAAUUUUCAAUUGACAUAUCAAUAUUUCUGUGAAUAGGAGGCACAAUAUGUUUUUUCUAGAAUAUCAUGGAAAUAUUAACUACAUGUUGAGUAUGUCACAACAUGGUGAGGAAUAAAUAGAAAAAAAUAAUUAUUAAAAGAGAAUAAGGGGAAAAUCUACUAAAACAAACAUCUAAAAGGAAUAAAGUACUUGGAAAGAAAAUUAAAAUGGGGAAAAUUUCUACUACUAUGAGGCCGACAAACUUGUCAACAUUUUUGUUUGUAAAUUGCAUAUAUGCAUUUAUUCAGUCCCAUCCAUGAAGUUUGUUGCAAGUGGAACUCACCCACAGUCUCAGUUUUUUUUUCUUUUUUUUUUUUGCCUGAACAGUCUCAGAAUAGUUGAUAUAGCUUUUUUCCAGCAUCUCUCUCUAUGCCCUACAAUUUUUUAUUUUUUUUUAAUUCUUCAUUCUCUAAUUUGAUCUCUUUGAAUGUGUGUGUGUGUGCAUGUUUAAGCAUGAUGUAUAUGUAUAUUUGCAUGUAUCUGUCUCCUCUCUCUAUCUCCCUUCCACCCCAUUUUCUUUAUUCUGAAUUUUCUCUCUCCUUGAUUUAUCAUGUAAUCUAUCUCUCCUUGAUUUAUCAUGUAAUCUAUCUUUCUAAUAUGGACAUGAGUAUGAAAAGUCUAUGUUAGGUACCCGCUCCCCUGCAAUCAAAAAUACCCAACAACAAGCCAAAAUAUCCAAAACAAAGUACCACAGGUCGUUUAUUGAUCUCAAGAGCAGAAAGAAGUCUGAUUACAAGACUGAGAAACAACAGCAAAAGGACCUAAUCUGAAAAACAAUAAUGGAAAUACUUGCAAGAGAAGAAAGAUGCAUCUAGCCAAAUUCGAGAGGGUAGAAUGUUAGGGGAAUUCCCUUUUUUGCGCUUCCUUUGGUAUGUAUGAAUCACCGAUGGUCUGACAGUCUACUAGUUUGUUGAAGUAACCGUUGAAGUCUCAUCAAUCAAUUCAAAUGAUUUUUAUAAAAUUUCAAAAUUUCGGAGCAUAUUCCCUCAAAUUUUUUAUUUAGAUCUACGUAAAUUAAAGACCUCUAUAUUUUCAUCAACAUUUGAUUCUUUGAACAAAAUUCACUAGAUCUUUAUAAUAAAAGUAGAACAGAUUAACUUCAACAAUUAUCUCUCUUUAGCCUCUCUCUCUUUCUCUCUCUCUCUCUAUAUAUAUAUUUAUUUAUUAUUAUUUUUUUAAUUUUUCAAAACUACGUUGAAUGAUUAUAAUUUCAUUUUGAUUA